AGAGUUUGAUCAUGGCUCAGAACGAACGCUGGCGGCGUGCUUAACACAUGCAAGUCGAGUGCGCGUCUGUAGCAAUACAGAUGGCGCACGGCGCACGGGUGCGUAACACGUGGGCAAUCUGCCCUUCGAUGGGGAAUAUCUUCGGGAAACCGAAGCGAAUUCCGCAUAACAUUCCUUGGACUUCGGUUUGGGGACUCAAAGCCGUAAGGCGUCGAAGGAGGAGCCCGCGCACGAUUAGCUAGUUGGUAGGGUAACGGCCUACCAAGGCUUUGAUCGUUAGCUGGUCUGAGAGGAUGGCCAGCCACACUGGAACUGAGACACGGUCCAGACUCCUACGGGAGGCAGCAGUGGGGAAUCUUGCACAAUGGGCGAAAGCCUGAUGCAGCGACGCCGCGUGGGGGAUGAAGCAUCUCGGUGUGUAAACCCCUUUCGACCCGGAAGAAUGCCUCGCAAGAGGACUGACGGUACGGGUAUAAGAAGCCCCGGCUAACUACGUGCCAGCAGCCGCGGUAAGACGUAGGGGGCCAGCGUUGUUCGGAAUUACUGGGUGUAAAGGGUUCGUAGGCGGUGCGGCAAGUUGGGAGUGAAAUCUCUGGGCUCAACCCAGAGGCUGCUUCCAAAACUGCUGUGCUUGAGUGUGGGAGGGGCGCGUGGAAUUGCAGGUGUAGCGGUGAAAUGCGUAGAUAUCUGCAGGAACACCCGUGGCGAAAGCGGCGCGCUGGACCACUACUGACGCUGGGGAACGAAAGCUAGGGGAGCAAACAGGAUUAGAUACCCUGGUAGUCCUAGCCCUAAACGAUCAGGACUUGGGGUGCCACCCGUUCGGGUGUCGUCCCGGAGCUAACGCGUUAAGUCCUGCACCUGGGGAGUACGGUCGCAAGACUGAAACUCAAAGGAAUUGACGGGGGCCCGCACAAGCGGUGG
rnacentral:rRNA from 1 species